UUCACCUUCGAAAGUCGUCCUCCUCGCCGAUCUUCUGCUCUGGCCAUCUUCCUACUCUGGCCACCAUGCCCUAACCCUCAACAUUGCGCUGGCCACCGUCUUCUUUGUCAUCCCCUCCACCGCGCCUCUGCCUCGCAACUGCUACAUCCCUUGUUCGUGCUCCUCCUCGCCGAUCUCCUCUGCAUCGUCGCCAGUGUCAUCUCCUCUGCUCUCCUUCCUUUUGGUUUUACCUUACUUUUGUCAUCACCUUCCUGCUCUAGCCAUCUUCCUGCUCUGGCCACCAUGCCCUAACCGUCAACAUUGUGCUGGCCACCGUCUUUUUUGUCAUCCCCUCCACCGCGCCUCUGCCUCGCAUCUGCUGAUCCUUCGUUCGUGUUUGCCUCGCCAUUUCUGCUUUGGUCGAUUUUUCCUGCUGGUGCGUUCGUCUCUGCCAUUUCCUGCCUCGCCGUUUUUGCUUCGCUUGAUUCUCUGCUGAGGGUUGUAAUAUUUAGAGAUGGGACAUAUCUGACCUUAAAAGAAGUUUUUGAGAGUUUGGACUAGACUAGGUUAAAUCUUAUUCCUAAAGCAGAAUAAUCUCAUUCAAGCUAUAGAGAGGGAAAUUGGAGCAUUACAAUUGGAAGAAAAGAAGCUUCUUGCUGAGAUAAAGAGAACUGCUAAGACGGGAAACGAGGCUGCAAUUAAAGUUCUUGCUCGACAGUUGGUAAGGCUUACGCAACAGAUUGCUAACCUUCAAGGUAGUCAAGCUCAGAUGAGAGGGAUAGCAACUCACACACAGGGCACAGGUCAAAACAAUUUAGCUUGCAAUGAUACAUGAAGUUUUUAUAUCUUGGCAUGGAGUACAAGAAGACUUUGAUUAGGAAUUCUAAUUCAUGUAUUAGGAAUUUCAUGAGUAGUUAUGACUUUCACUUUUGGUAUUUUGAAGAAGACUUUGAUUAGGAAUUCUAAUUCAUGUAUUAGGAAUUCAUGAGUAGUUAUGACUUUCACUUUUGGUAUUUUGUUAGUUUAUGUUGUUAUGUGAUCACACACUUAUUUUGGUGACAAUUUUAUGAAAG